rnacentral:rRNA from 1 species
AUUGAACGCUGGCGGCAUGCUUUACACAUGCAAGUCGAACGGUAACAGGGAGCUUGCUCCGCUGACGAGUGGCGAACGGGUGAGUAAUGCGUCGGAACGUGCCGAGUAGUGGGGGAUAACGCAGCGAAAGUUGUGCUAAUACCGCAUACGUACUGAGGUAGAAAGUGGGGGACCUUCGGGCCUCACGCUAUUCGAGCGGCCGACGUCGGAUUAGCUAGUAGGUGAGGUAAAGGCUCACCUAGGCGAAGAUCAGUAGCGGGUUGGAGAGGAUGAUCCGCCAGACUGGGACUGAGACACGGCCCAGAGUCCUACGGGAGGCAGGAGUGGGGAAUUUUGGACAAUGGGCGAAAGCCUGAUCCAGCCAUGCCGCGUGUCUGAAGAAGGCCUUCGGGUUGUAAAGGACUUUUGUCGGGGAGGAAAUCCCCAGCGUUAAUACCGCUGGGGGAUGACAGUACCUGAAGAAUAAGCACCGGCUAACUACGUGCCAGCCGCCGCGGUAAUAC